AAGAUUCCACUCAAAUAAUAUUAAAAAAUGAUAAUAUUAAUCUUUAUUAUCAGAUCAAUUUCGAUGCAUGGGACACUCUCUCAAUUAUCUUAUCUCCAUAGAUUUUUUUAAUAAUCUACAGUGGUUUAAGAUAUGUAAUAAUCCAUGAUCGGUGCUAGACUUCGCAAAUGGCUUCACGCCGAACAUCUCUAGAUCCUUUUAUGCUUUGUGCUCAGUCCAAUGACAGGCACCGGAUAUUGGGCUGGUCUUCAUUGGAUAUGUGAUAGCCCCACCUCCCCUAAGGCGAACCAAAGGGUUCGGCGGACCGCCUGCCCAACUCUCGUCGGGACUCACUCACUUACUACUUACUACAGUCAUCAAACAAAUUACAAUAUAAAUCUCAAAUAUUACAUCAAAUUUCCCAAGAAUUACAUAUCAUAAGCGAAACAGAAACUAAUUCCCAACUAUACAUAAAAUGAUUCCAAAUCCAAAUGGUACGAGAUAUAUGCCAUCCAGUCACGUGAAUAAGUACUACAAGCCCUUCCUUCGCCUCGAGCCCUGUGGAGGGAAAUAAAAUAUUUUUUUGGGGUGAGCUAGAAACUCAGCGAGUAACCAGUCAAAUCAGUAAUCAAAUCAGUUUCACAAUAGUUCAUUUCAAUGAUGUUAUGAAUCAGUAAUCAAAUGUACGUUUAUUGCUCUCAUGAGCCAGUGAAAUCAUUGUACUUAAACAUCCAACGCUCAAAUAGAUCCAGUAGCAGUGAAACAAUAAGAGGGAGCCAUUUGCUCCAAAUGAACAGAGGUGGAGACGUUGGUGUUCAGUACAGACUUCCCAAGAACUCAGUUAAGCCAAAUCAUGUCAUGAACUCGCAUGCGACACACAUGAUAUGCAGUCGAGUAAAUAAUGCAAGAAACAUUUCAAAAGUACUUUAGAAACAGUUUAGGGUCACUCACCAACCACGGCUCAGGAACCAUCAAUCAUACGUCAUUGCCUUGCUCAAGUCCAAGCCCUUCAACUCAAACUCAAAGCAAUCAAAUGCUUUCAAAGAUCGGACAGCAUUUCCCCUACAUUUCCUUACUUUUCCAUACAAGCAACAACAAUUCAUCUUAAAUCAACCACAUACACAUCAUAGACUAUCAAAUACAUCUUUCGGCACAAUAUCCAUAACUGAAGCUACACUUAUCGGAUUGAAACGAAUCUUAUGGCGUUUCGAAACCAAGACAUAAACCUACAUUUCUUAUGAAGACCUCCAAAGCCAAAUCAUGCAAUUUCAUAGUCAAAAAUGGAAAACUCCACGAAAACAGAAAUCUGGGCGCGAAACCGGGUUCAUGGGCAGUCAAGGGUAUUUCGGUCAUUUCACAGGUUACAGUACUCAGAUCGAGCUGAAAUUUUACAGGAAGCUAGCUAACACCAUUUUCUACAACUUACAUGUUUUAACCUAAGCCUGAUUCGGCCUCUAACAUGCUCAAAUAAAUCCGGUCAGAACAGGGCAGAUUUGAAACCCAAACCUGAAAUUUCCGCACAAAGCUGAAAUUUUCCACAAAUAACCGCAAUUAAUGCACAAGAGAGCUAUUUAACACCAUUUAGAACCAUCAAUUCAAGACUAACCAUAUCCAUCAUAGGAAAACAGAAAAAUCCCAAAAAAAAUCAGAAAUUUAACUAACUUCACUUUAAUCCAAGAAAUCUUCCAUAAAAUCACCUCUUAAACCAACACAAGUCACUAAUAAACCAUUAUUAAGAACAAAGAAUGGAUUGCUAGACAUGAUACCUUGAAAUCUCAAGAAAGGUGAUGGCUUAGAGUUCUUCUUCCCAAAUUAGCUCCACAAACACCUUGGAAUCUCCUUAGUAAACAACUUUUAUGGAGUAAUUUGCAAUUCUAUCGGUUAGAACUUAAGAUUGGAGUAAGAAAUUGGAGUGAAAGAUGAAGGUUUUUCUCUCUCUCUUGCUCUCAAAGUUUCAGCCAUAAGAAGGAGAAAAUGGCUUGAUUUUUGGUCAAAU
rnacentral:lncRNA from 1 species